rnacentral:lncRNA from 1 species
UCCUGACAGGUGUGCUUGAAAAGCUCUUCUUCGAACAUGUGUGCGAAGACCAUUACGAAGAAGUAUCGAAUUCCGUAAACAGAAAAAAAAGAAAAGAAAAGCGAGUCUAGAAAUGCAUUAAAGAAAAUCGGAAAAAGUUACACAAAAACAAAAACGUAAUUCCAUCCGUAGAGUCCAUCAAUUAAAGGAGAAGUUAGAAGAAAAAAAGUGUUUAAAAAAUAUGUCUGGCCACGUGUUUUACUAAAAGCGUGAUGCAUUGCCAUCAGGUUGACUGCUUUCCCUUUGUAAAAAGAGCGUGGAUGACUGAAGUAAUGUUUGAUAUGAGCGACAGAGGGUGAAAUUAUCGCUUGUAAUACGAUCGGGUCAGGACAGUUGCUGUAAUGACGACAAAGACUCGUCGCUUGAUAUCCAUUGUUAUAUAGAGAGGGUGUAAUUUCUAGCAUGAAAAAUUACACGGGAUGACAGCGCCAUCACUAUCAUUAAAGUUAACAAGAGGGAAAAUUUACAUUAUCUGGUCGGAAACAAAUCUUCACAAAUUGUACCUUUUACAAAACAGUGGAUAAUCGGGUAUCUACUUUCCACUCUAAAGCAUUGUCUCGUAUUAAAAAACCAUUGAUAGAGAGAAAUCUAUGAAGAUGGGAGGCGAUGAGAAAACAUACACUUCGUGUUUUCUUCAUCAAUUAUCUUAAGAAAUACCGACGAGUUGUAACUAUUUGCACUUCUUUUUUUUUAUUGUUAUUAUCGAAUAUAUGUAGACCAUACACGUGUUUUCUUGCCACUUCUUUUUUUCUAUUUGCCUUGUUGAUGUCAAAAAUUAUUCUCUGGGUGUUAGUUUUUCGUGAGAAAUUAUAUCGAAACAGAUGGAAAACUUGUCAAGAAUCUCUUUUUACCCCCCAAAAGUAAUUGAAUUCUUGUAUUGUAAUGGUUCCGAAUCGAUGUUAUUCAGGGCGUGGUGUGAUAAACAAAUUGCUAUACAUUCUUGUAUCGAUCUCGAAUAUUUUUUUAAUAGUUUAAUGAUCGAAAUCUCUGGCAGUGAGACUGAAGCAACCUGC